GCGACCUUAGCUCAGCUGGGAGAGCGUCAGACUGAAGUCUUCCAACUCCAGUCAUCUUAAUUGACAUCUGAAGGUCGUGUGUUCGAUCCACACAGGUCGCA
rfam:Trichoderma harzianum strain T6776 Scaffolds0320.1, whole genome shotgun sequence.